CAAGACUAAAUAUGUAAAAUGAGGCUUCAUCUUCCAUAAGGAAGAUAGGUGCCGUGGCCUAACGUGUACGUGUGUAUCCUGUCUAAGAGUCGCAACUCGUAAUUCUUACAUCUAGGUCCUCGUAACAGACAGAAAAGGAGGGGUUUGUGGGAUGAGGCGCAGGCAUGAAAGACACUGGUGGGAGACAAAAACGACAACUGGAUUACAGCUGCCUGCUGGGCAAAUUGCUGGCUGAAAGGACGUCGCUGCAUAUACAGAUGCCUCAGCAUCUACACUCACUGUAUGUGCGGUGUUUCAGAGUAGCUGAAGGAAAAUGGGAACCUGCAAUACUGGCAUUACAUCACAGGCAGUGGUUGGUCAUUGAUGUCAUCAUUCCUGUAGUUUGCCUGAUAUAUACAGCCUGCAGUGACUUACCUCCGAUCUACAAAGGCUGGCUCCUGGAGGUCUGCCUUCCAGUUAGCAGCGCCGGCGAGCAGCAGCACCUGUGUCUCCACGCCAGACAGCUGGCACGCUCCAUGCAUGCCACCGUGCACCAUCUGUGCCACACAUCACGUGCCAGUUACGUGACUGGGGAGAGUCAGGAGGAAGAAAAUGCGCUUGCAACUGCAUGGCAACUGCAUCUGACAGAACAAUAACUCAUGCCAGGUGACCUUGUCCAAACACAUGGCCUGAACUUCAAGGAACUAUACUGUUUUCGUAAUGGAUAUUGGAUUCAAAUCUUGCAAAGAUGCCUUUUGAAGAUGUACUGGUGAAAUAUGCACUUAAAAGUGGGAACUCUCCAUCCCAAAUCCAACAGGGAUAAGAAAUUUGAUAGAUUAGUUCACCUAAACGAUACUAACACAUUGUUUAUCUUCCUAGCCAUUGGGUUAAGAGCUGUUGUGCAUAACUUUCUUAACCUUAACCUCAUCUGCUCAUCUCUGGGGAAUCCAGACGAGUGCAAGGGAUAAACGAAAAUCAAUGCUGAGUUUGG
rnacentral:lncRNA from 1 species